rnacentral:rRNA from 1 species
GGCGAACGGGUGAGUAACACGUGGGUAAUCUGCCCUGCACUCUGGGAUAAGCCUGGGAAACAGGGUCUAAUACUGGAUAUGACCUUUCUCCUUAUGGGGUUUGGUGGAAAGUUUUUCGGUGUAGGAUGAGCCCGCGGCCUAUCAGCUUGUUGGUGGGGUGAUGGCCUACCAAGGCGACGACGGGUAGCCGGCCUGAGAGGGUGAUCGGCCACAUUGGGACUGAGAUACGGCCCAG